rnacentral:rRNA from 1 species
UACGUAGGGGGCAAGCGUUAUUCGGAAUUAUUGGGCGUAAAGGGCGCGUAGGCGGCUUUGCGUGUCUUCCGUGAAAUCCCUCGGCUCAACUGAGGACGUGCGGAAGAAACUGCAGGGCUCGAGUCCGGGAGAGGGGGGUGGAAUUCCCAGUGUAGCGGUGAAAUGCGUAGAUAUUGGGAGGAACACCGGUGGCGAAGGCGGCCCCCUGGACCGGUACUGACGCUGAGGCGCGAAAGCGUGGGGAGCAAACGGG